GAUGAAGAACGCAGCCAAAUGCGAUAAGUAAUAUGAAUUGCAGAAUUCAGUGAAUCAUCGAAUCUUUGAACGCACAUUGCGCCCGCCAGCACUCUGGCGGGCAUGCCUGUUCGAGCGUCAUUUCAACCAUCAAGCCCCAGGCUUGCGUUGGAGCCCUGCGGCUGCCGCAGCCUCCUAAAAGCAGUGGCGGGCUCGCUAUCACACCGAGUGCAGUAGAUUACUCUUCGCUCAGGGCGUGCAGCGGGUUCCGGCCGUGAAACCCCCUACUUUUAAAGGUUGACCUCGGAUCAGGUAGGAAUACCCGCUGAACUUAAGCAUAUCAAUAAGCGGAGGA
rnacentral:misc_RNA from 1 species